rnacentral:sRNA from 1 species
UGGCAAUAGGCUAUGGUUAACCGUGCCAA